rnacentral:rRNA from 1 species
CCUACGGGUGGCAGCAGUGAGGAAUAUUGGUCAAUGGGCGGGAGCCUGAACCAGCCAAGUAGCGUGAGGGAAGACGGUCCUAUGGAUUGUAAACUGCUUUUAUCGGGGAGCAAAAGACCCUACGCGUGGCGCUCCGAGUGUACCCGAAGAAAAAGCACCGGCUAACUCCGUGCCAGCGGCCGGGGUAAUACGGAGGAUCCGGGCGUUAUCCGGAUUUAUUGGGUUUAAAGGGUGCGCAGGCGGAAGAUCAAGUGUGCGGUAAAAUGGCGGGGCUCAACCCCGCCGUGCCGUGGAAACUGGGGUUCUUGAGUGAGCGAGAAGUAUGCGGAAUGCGUGGUGUAGCGGUGAAAUGCAUAGAUAUGACGCAGAACUCCGAUUGCGAAGGCAGCAUACCGGCGCUCAACUGACGCUCAUGCACGAAAGUGUGGGUAUCGAACAGGAUUAGAUACCCUAGUAGUC